rnacentral:rRNA from 1 species
UACGAAGGGGGCUAGCGUUGCUCGGAAUCACUGGGCGUAAAGCGCACGUAGGCGGCUUUCUAAGUCAGGGGUGAAAUCCUGGAGCUCAACUCCAGAACUGCCUUUGAUACUGGGAAGCUCGAGUCCGGAAGAGGUGAGUGGAACUGCGAGUGUAGAGGUGAAAUUCGUAGAUAUUCGCAAGGACACCAGUGGCGAAGGCGGCUCACUGGUCCGGUACUGACGCUGAGGUGCGAAAGCGUGGGGAGCAACAGGG